CCGCACGGGUGAGUAACACGUAUGCAAUCCACCUGUAACGAGGGGGAUAACCCGGAGAAAUCCGGACUAAUACCCCAUAAUAUGGGCGCUCCGCAUGGAGAGCCCAUUAAAGAGAGCAAUUUUGGUUACAGACGAGCAUGCGCUCCAUUAGCCAGUUGGCGGGGUAACGGCCCACCAAAGCGACGAUGGAUAGGGGUUCUGAGAGGAAGGUCCCCCACAUUGGAACUGAGACACGGUCCAA
rnacentral:rRNA from 1 species